rnacentral:rRNA from 1 species
CAGUAGCCGCGGUAACACCGAGGGUGCGAGCGUUAAUCGGAUUUACUGGGCGUAAAGCGUGCGUAGGCGGCUUAUUAAGUCGGAUGUGAAAUCCCUGAGCUUAACUUAGGAAUUGCAUUCGAUACUGGGAAGCUAGAGUAUGGGAGAGGAUGGUAGAAUUCCAGGUGUAGCGGUGAAAUGCGUAGAGAUCUGGAGGAAUACCGAUGGAGAAGGCAGCCAUCUGGCCUAAUACUGACGCUGAGGUACGAAAGCAUGGGGAGCAAACAGGAUUAGAUACCCCUGUAGUCCCUGUCUCUUAUAC